UUAUCACUAAUCAUUUUUGCCCCUGUGGUUUUCAAUUUAAGCAAUUCAAGUCCAAUCUCCAAUUUCUGUCAAAUUAGGUUAACUGUUGUUAUUUGUAGAGGGGCAUUUAAGUCCAAAAAUAAGAGAGAGAGAGAGAGAGAGAGAGAGAGAGCAAAAGAUAGGGGAAGAGAAGCUGUCAGCCACACAACCAGCUCACACGCCAACCACCACUCUUCGCCAUCUCCUCAACCCGAAUAUCACAACAACAAGAAAGUAUGUGAAGAGUGGUUUUCUCGUAUUUAUGAGCCAAUGAUGAAUGCUGGAUUAGCUCUCCAAUGCCAUGAUGCUACAAUUCAGUAUUGUGCUCUGCGUUUAUAGGAGGUGAGGAAUCUUGUGGCUUCAGCUUUGAAUGAAAAGUCUAGGUCACAAGUAACUGAGAACCUCCAUAAUAUCAGGGCCAGAUUUUCGAGGUGGUGGAGUUUACUGGGUUGGGGAGAUUGGGGCGUGUGUGGUGGUUGGCGUGUUGGCUGGCGUGGGUGGUUGUGGCUGACGGCUUCUCUUCCCCUUAUCUCUCUUUCUUUUCUUUUUUUUUUUUAAAAUUUAAAUUUAAUAUAAAUAUAAAUUUUUCUUGUUUUUGGACUUUGUUGGUACCGUAACUGAUCGAGCAACUAGCUAGGUCAAAUCAUCCAUGUGCCAUGCCUUGAGAGGCAUCACCUUAGUCAAAGAAGAAUUACCACAAGUCACAACUUUAAGCAAAGCAAGAGGAGUCCCACAUCGGAAAACUACAAGAGAUGGAGACUCCUCCUCACCUAUAAAAGAAGACCACUCUUCACUUAGAAAAGGGUCUUGGAUCUAGACCCUUAGACCUUGGACUCUCUUUCCCAGGACUGGGCUUGGCUUCUCACUUGUUAUCUUUAUAUUUGGGUAUAAUCUUCUUGUACAAAUGUAAACAAACAUUAUCAUAAUGAGAACAUCCUUCUCCGUGGACGUAGCCCAUUAUUUGGGUGAACCGC